CAGCCGCCGCGGUAAUACGUAGGUGGCAAGCGUUGUCCGGAAUUAUUGGGCGUAAAGGGCUCGCAGGCGGUUUCUUAAGUCUGAUGUGAAAGCCCCCGGCUCAACCGGGGAGGGUCAUUGGAAACUGGGAAACUUGAGUGCAGAAGAGGAGAGUGGAAUUCCACGUGUAGCGGUGAAAUGCGUAGAGAUGUGGAGGAACACCAGUGGCGAAGGCGACUCUCUGGUCUGUAACUGACGCUGAGGAGCGGAAGCGUGGGGAGCGAACAGGAUUAGAUACCCCUGUAGUCCCUGUCUCUUAUAA
rnacentral:rRNA from 1 species